rnacentral:rRNA from 1 species
GCCUAAAACCUAGCCCUACCUGCCCUCAAUAAAAGUACUACAUUAAACAAUUAUAAUAAAACAUUUUCUCAGCCAAGUAAAGGCGAUUAAAAAGCACUUAGGAGCUCCAACACCAGUACCGCAAGGGAAAACUGAAAUAAAAAUGAAAUAAAUCUAAAACACAACAUAGUAGAGACCCACCCUCGUACCUUUUGCAUCAUGAUCUAGCUAGUACAACCAAGCUAAACGAACUUUAAGUUUGACACCCCGAAACUAAGCGAGCUACUUCAAAACAGCCCCUACGGGCCAACCCAUCCCUGUUGCAAAAUGGUGGGAAGAUUUUCAAGUAGAAGUGACAGACCUACCGAGCCUAGAGAUAGCUGGUUAUUCAAGAAGCGGAUAUUAGUCCAAUUUUAAAUCUCUUUAUUUUUUCAAGCUCACUCAAAGAUUUAAAAUUCAUUCAAAUAAGGUACAGCCUAUUUGAAAUAGGAUACAACCUCUAAUAUUGGGUUACCUCCAACCUCUGUGAUCAAGUCGGCCUAAAAGCAGCCAUCUUUUAAAGAGCGUCACAGCCUUACCACACCAUAUCAAUAAUCCAAACCUAAACUAAAAACCCAUUAUCAAUACUGAAUGACUCCAUUCACCUAUGGAAGACCUUAUGUUAGAACUAGUAACAAGAAUAUGCCCUUCUCCAACAGUAAGUGUAAGCUGGAAUGAACCCCUCGCCGGCAUUUAUCGCCAAUGAAUUUACAGUAAUAACCCCCCAAGAAAAUGCUACUUUCACCAACGUUAACCUUACACUAGAACUCUCCUGGAAAGAUUAAAAAACUGGGAAGGAACUCGGCAAACACUAACCCCGCCUGUUUACCAAAAACAUCGCCUUCUGCCACUAAUAGAAGGUCUAGCCUGCCCAGUGAAAAUUUAAACGGCCGCGGUACUUUAACCGUGCAAAGGUAGCACAAUCACUUGUCUCCUAAAUAGAGACCAGUAUGAAUGGCAUCACGAGGGUUACACUGUCUCCCCACUUUAAUCAGUGAAACUAAUCUCCCCGUGAAGAAGCGGGGAUAAAUAUAUAAGACGAGAAGACCCCAUGGAGCUUUAAACUAAAAACAUCCGCAUAUUUUAUGCCACUUAAACCUAGCAGAUCUGUUUUCUAGUUUUUGGUUGGGGCGACCGCGGAGUAAAACAAAACCUCCACGAUGAAAGGAAAUAAUGACCUAAUUCAAGAGCAACCGCUCGCAAAAUCAAAAUAUUGACCUAUGACCCAAAAAAUCUUUGAGUAACGAACCAAGUUACCCUGGGGAUAACAGCGCAAUCCAUCUCAAGAGCUCCUAUCGACAGAUGGGUUUACGACCUCGAUGUUGGAUCAGGGUAUCCCAGUGGUGAAGCCGCUACUAAAGGUUCGUUUGUUCAACGAUUAAAACCCU